rnacentral:ncRNA from 2 species
GCGCAUCACGCGGGAGAGAACUCCCCCACUCGGAGUCGCCGAAGGCGCAACCCCCGGAACCGCUCAGGCAAAAGGACCGCGUGCAAAGU